GUGCCAGCCGCCGCGGUAAUACGGAGGGUGCAAGCGUUAAUCGGAAUUACUGGGCGUAAAGCGCACGCAGGCGGUCUGACAAGUCGGAUGUGAAAUCCCCGGGCUCAACCCGGGAACUGCAUUCGAAACUGUCAGGCUGGAGUCUUGUAGAGGGGGGUAGAAUUCCAGGUGUAGCGGUGAAAUGCGUAGAGAUCUGGGAGGAAUACCGGUGGCGAAGGCGGCCCCCUGGACAAGACUGACGCUCAGUGCGAAAGCGUGGGGAGCAAACAGGAUUAGAUACCCCUGGUAGUUCACGCUGUAAACGAUGUCGACUUGGAGUUGUGCCCUUGAGCGUGGCUUCGGAGCUAACGCGUUAAG
rnacentral:rRNA from 1 species